rnacentral:rRNA from 1 species
UACGGAGGGUGCAAGCGUUAUCCGGAUUUACUGGGUUUAAAGGGUGCGUAGGCGGGCUUUUAAGUCAGCGGUGAAAUCUCCGGGCUUAACUCGGAAAUUGCCGUUGAUACUAUUAGUCUUGAAUUAAGUUGAGGUGGGCGGAAUAUGUCAUGUAGCGGUGAAAUGCUUAGAUAUGACAUAGAACACCGAUUGCGAAGGCAGCUCGCUAAACUUAUAUUGACGCUGAGGCACGAAAGCGUGGGGAUCAAAC